CCCCUCUCAGGGUUUCACCUGGAGAGUUUCCAGUACUCUACCAGUCUUGACCAAGAGAGGGAGAGUCAAGCAGAGGCAUACCCAUUCCAUUCCUAGAUUGGGUGGUGGUUAGCGAGCGGAAGGCAGUCUGCUACAAAU